AGAGUUUGAUCCUGGCUCAGGAUGAACGCUGGCGGCGUGCCUAACACAUGCAAGUCGAACGGACUUACAUUGAAGCCUAGCGAUAUGUAAGUUAGUGGCGGACGGGUGAGUAACGCGUGGGUAACCUGCCUUGUACUGGGGGACAACAGUUGGAAACGACUGCUAAUACCGCAUAAGCGCACAGCUUCGCAUGAAGCAGUGUGAAAAACUCCGGUGGUACAAGAUGGACCCGCGUCUGAUUAGCUGGUUGGUGAGGUAACGGCCCACCAAGGCGACGAUCAGUAGCCGGCCUGAGAGGGUGAACGGCCACAUUGGGACUGAGACACGGCCCAAACUCCUACGGGAGGCAGCAGUGGGGAAUAUUGCACAAUGGGGGAAACCCUGAUGCAGCAACGCCGCGUGAAGGAUGACGGUUUUCGGAUUGUAAACUUCUUUUCUUAGUGACGAAGACAGUGACGGUAGCUAAGGAAUAAGCAUCGGCUAACUACGUGCCAGCAGCCGCGGUAAUACGUAGGAUGCAAGCGUUAUCCGGAUUUACUGGGUGUAAAGGGAGCGCAGGCGGGACUGCAAGUUGGAUGUGAAAUACCGUGGCUUAACCACGGAACUGCAUCCAAAACUGUAGUUCUUGAGUGAAGUAGAGGCAAGCGGAAUUCCGAGUGUAGCGGUGAAAUGCGUAGAUAUUCGGAGGAACACCAGUGGCGAAGGCGGCUUGCUGGGCUUUAACUGACGCUGAGGCUCGAAAGUGUGGGGAGCAAACAGGAUUAGAUACCCUGGUAGUCCACACUGUAAACGAUGAUAGCUAGGUGUGGGGGGUCUGACCCCUUCCGUGCCGGAGUUAACGCAAUAAGCUAUCCACCUGGGGAGUACGACCGCAAGGUUGAAACUCAAAGGAAUUGACGGGGGCC
rnacentral:rRNA from 1 species